CAGGGAUUGCCUCAGUAACGGCGAGUGAAGCGGCAACAGCUCAAAUUUGAAAUCUGGCCCCCCGGCCCGAGUUGUAAUUUGCAGAGGAUGCUUCGGGCGCGGCGCCUUCCAAGUCCCCUGGAACGGGGCGCCACAGAGGGUGAGAGCCCCGUCAGGUCGGCCGCCAAGCCUGUGUGAAGCUCCUUCGACGAGUCGAGUAGUUUGGGAAUGCUGCUCUAAGUGGGAGGUAGACCCCUUCUAAAGCUAAAUACCGGCCAGAGACCGAUAGCGCACAAGUAGAGUGAUCGAAAGAUGAAAAGCACUUUGAAAAGAGGGUUAAACAGUACGUGAAAUUGUUGAAAGGGAAGCGCUUGUGACCAGACGUGCGCCGGGCGCUCAGCGGGCGUUCUCGCCCGUGCACUCGCCCCGGCGCAGGCCAGCGUCGGUUCGGGAGGGGGGACAAAGGCGCCAGGCACGUAGCUCCCCCGGGAGUGUUAUAGCCUGGCGCGCCAUGCCCCCGCCCGGACCGAGGUUCGCGCUCCGCAAGGACGCUGGCGUAAUGGUCCCCAGCGGCCCGUCUUGAAACACGGACCAAGGAGUCGAGGUUUUGCGCGAGUGUUUGGGUGUCAAACCCGCACGCGUAAUGAAAGUGAACGCAGGUGGGAGCUUCGGCGCACCACCGACCGAUCCUGAUGUUCUCGGAUGGAUUUGAGUAGGAGCGUAGGGCCUCGGACCCGAAAGAUGGUGAACUAUACUUGGAUAGGGUGAAGCCAGAGGAAACUCUGGUGGAGGCUCGCAGCGGUUCUGACGUGCAAAUCGAUCGUCAAAUCUGAGUAUGGGGGCGAAAGACUAAUCGAACCAUCUAGUAGCUGGUUACCGCCGAAGUUUCCCUCAGGAUAGCAGUGUUGAUCUCAGUUUUAUGAGGUAAAGCGAAUGAUUAGGGACUCGGGGGCGCUUUUCAGCCUUCAUCCAUUCUCAAACUUUAAAUAUGUAAGAAGCCCUUGUUGCUUAGUUGAACGUGGGCCUUCGAAUGCAGCAACACUAGUGGGCCAUUUUUGGUAAGCAGAACUGGCGAUGUGGGAUGAACCAUACGGGGGGUUAAGGUGCCGGAGUGGACGCUCAUCAGACACCACAAAAGGCGUUAGCACAUCUUGACAGCAGGACGGUGGCCAUGGAAGUCGGAAUCCGCUAAGGACUGUGUAACAACUCACCUGCCGAAUGUGCUAGCCCUGAAAAUGGAUGGCGCUCAAGCGUCCCACCCAUACCCCCCCCUCAGGGUAGAAACGAUGCCCUGAGGAGUAGGCGGCCGCAGCGCUGCGUGACGAAGGCUAGGGC
rnacentral:rRNA from 1 species